CAAUGGUUCUGGUUCCGGCCAAGAAGACCACCACCUCAUUUUCGAAAUAUCCGGGAUAAUUCCCGACUUGGCCCAAAAAUCGAUGCCGAGAAUUACGCACUGAGGUAACUCGGGAACCACGAGGCAUUCCAGAAGAACCCAGUUGCUCUCCACCUUGAUUGGCAACAAAACCGAACCUAACAUCGAGAUAUGACCUCCAUUCGCGAGAGUCACUCUCAAAAAAUUGGAAAGAAAAUUCACCGUAAUACCAUACGCGCUUCUGGUCGCACCAGAAGUCGACAAAGCCCUAAGAGCAAAACCAUGGAUCUUAACAUUCAAAUAAGGGCGUUCGUCGUGACCGUACGGCACCAACUUAAACGCCAAACCUAACUUCUUCAAACUCAACACCUACAUUAGCAGGUUCACUAGCUCGCCCUAUUAGACCGCCUUUCCUACAAACAGGUCUACCGCGCCGCGGAAAAAAAAGCCUUGGGUCAAACCGCGUGCCUCGCUCAACUCCUCAGCCCGUUCUAAAAAUGCGAAAAGCGACAUACCAGCUUCUUCGCCGUCAAAGUUGACGUCUCACUUUGACAAAAUCACCGGCUUCUGAGACUCCGCUGUCUCCUCAACCACGUGUCGUAUCUCGACGGGAGGGGUGCUAUCGGGUCUGAAACCGAAACAAUUAAAUUUUCUACCUCCUCCAGUUUCGAUUCGACCGCCGUGUUAUCCUCGUCGAAACUGAAGGGGUAGUCUUAGAAGAGGUUUACCGAACCUCUUCGCUCAAUUAAUCGCGAUGCCCUGUGCGACUUACACAUGGCUACAACCGUACCGACUGGAAGACCGCGUGCCUCUAUCUCGUACGCGAGCUCAUCCUGCGCCAAUCGGUUAAUUUCCACAUUAAUAUUUAAAAAAAA